UCCCUCUGGCAAUGGGCAAAGAAAACAUCUUGCUGGUGGUGUUCUUAUAUUAGUCAGGAGCAGAGCAGAUGGCAGUCCUUUGUUCAUCUUAGCUUGAUGCCUGGCUUGAUGGCCAAAACUCUCUUAUGCCUAGGAUAGUUAA